ACCUGGCACACCUGACACACCAGUUUCCCCACCUUCACCUGCUCCAAGACCAUCUCAUGUUCCUAUACCAUCUACCAAUACCUCAACAGGUGUUUUUUGUUUUUUUUUGCCACAGCAUUUUCAUGGAAUUCCUGCUCGCUUUUGUAUUUUUUUUUUUUAGAUCCUUGCAGCAGUGUGGGUGAUACACCAACCACUGCAAACCUGGACCGGCUGUCACCACCCACCCUUGGAGGUGCCGACAUUUGCUCCCAGUCACCUGUGUUGGCUCCUGAUUCAUUGGGUUCAUCUGCAGCUACACCAAGAAUACACAGGGGAGGCAGACCCAAAAUUGUGAGGACUCCAAGGACCACUUCUCUAAUUCAGUCACUAAGGGCGUCACGUGACAAGCUGCGAAAAAGUCUGUUUCGUGCUAGAAGAACUGCUUCGACAGCACAGCUAAGUACCUUGUCAAGAGCUCAGAUAAUUAACGGUGCAUCACGGUAUAUGUCAAAGGAGGCACUUGAAAUUUUCAGGGUUCAGUUGUACCUGCAGCGUUUUCGCAAGUAUGGGCGCCGGUGGCCUGAGUACUUCCGGGGUUUAGCCCUAAAAUUGCACU